rnacentral:rRNA from 1 species
UGAAUACGAGACGCUACGGCGUCGAAGCAGUCUAUGUCAUACUUCCAAGAAAAGCUUGCACUGUCAUAAACAAAUAAUGCCUGUACCAUAACCGACACAGGUGGGUAGGUAGAGUAUACUAAGGGGCGCGAGAUAACUCUCUCUAAGGAACUCGGCAAAAUGACUCCGUAACUUCGGGAGAAGGAGUGCCUUAUUUAUAAGGUUGCAAUAACAAGAUCCAAGCAACUGUUUAUCAAAAACACAGGUCUCCGCUAAGUCGUAAGACGAUGUAUGGGGGCUGACGCCUGCCCAGUGCCAGAAGGUUAAAGAAGUUGGUUAGCAUUAGCGAAGCUGAUAACUGAAGCCCUGGUGAACGGCGGCCGUAACUAUAACGGUCCUAAGGUAGCGAAAUUCCUUGUCGGGUAAGUUCCGACCCGCACGAAAGGCGUAAUGAUUUGGAUACUGUCUCGGAGAGGGGCUCGGUGAAAUAGACUUGUCUGUGGAGAUGCGGACUACCUGCACCUGGACAGAAAGACCCUAUGAAGCUUUACUGUAACCUGAAAUUGAAAUUGGACUUUAUUUGCGCAGUAUAGGUGGGAGGCGUUGAGAAUAUUCUUGCGGGAAUAUUGGAGCCAUCAGUGAGAUACCACUCUUGUAAUGUUAGAUUUCUAACUUUGAAUCAUUAUCUGGUCAAAGAACAGUUUCAGGCGGGCAGUUUGACUGGGGCGGUCGCCUCCUAAAUGGUAACGGAGGCGCACAAAGGUUUCCUCUGAACGGGUAGAAAUCGUAUCUAGAGUGUAAAGGCAUAAGGAAGCUUGACUGUGAGACCUACAAGUCGAGCAGGGACGAAAGUCGGUCUUAGUGAUCUGACGGUGCUGAGUGGAAAGGCCGUCACUCAACGGAUAAAAGUUACUCUAGGAUAACAGGCUGAUCUCCCCCAAGAGUUCACAUCGACGGGGAGGUUUGGCACCUCGAUGUCGGCUCAUCGCAUCCUGGGGCGGUAGUACGUCCCAAGGGUUGGGCUGUUCGCCCAUGAAAGCGGUACGCGAGCUGGGUUCAGAACGUCGUGAGACAGUUCGGUUCAUAUCCGGUGUAGGCGUUAGAAUAUUGAGAGGAGCCUUCUUUAGUACGAGAGGACCGAGAAGGACAUACCUCUGGUGUACCAGUUAUCGUGCCAACGGUAAACGCUGGGUAGCUAUGUAUGGAGAGGAUAACCGCUGAAAGCAUCUAAGUGGGAAGCCCACCUCAAGAUAAGUAUUCUCACC